AACUGUAACAAACCAUAAUUUCCCCUCUGGGCUUAAUAAAUUACUUCUGAUUCUCAUUAUAAGAAUUGUCAUCCAGAGUUUGGGAAACACAAGCACUUUGCAAUGGUCUUACUUGUAAAAACAUCUGAUAUGUCAUCGAUAAAUGUCAAAUAAUUUCAAUUAAAAAUGUCAGGCAUUGCACCUUUAGUCUCUUGAAUGAAAGUCAGACAAGCCUAGGCAAUAUUCAAGCUAAUGUUUAUGUAGUCUAGCCUGGUUUAGUUCAGUUUUGAAGGAAACUAUAUUGUAAUGUCAGGCUGAAUUACAGGGAAAUAUGUACAAAGUGCCUCACAAAUCAUGUCAAAAAAAUUAAAUUUGAUAGUUUAUUUAUGUAAAUGUGUAGUUGUCUGACUGUAAUCACAUUUGGCUAUCUUUUCUGCAGUCACAGUAAAAAUCAAAAUGUGGUUUUAUAUGAUUAAAAGAAGGAGAAAGUGGUGGAAUAUGUGAAAUGCUCCUUUUCCUGUCUGCUGCUGUGGGGGCAUGUAUGUGUUUGAUUGACAGCUGCUGACAGGCUCAGCUCCGCAGGUGAAGGUGAAUAAACAAACAAACAUGCCUGUAAAUAAACAGCUCAUGGACAGGCAGCGUGUUGUCAGCAGUGGUGUAAAAUAAUAAUGACCACACCAGCGUCUGAAUGGCCCGGGGUGACAUUAGCAGUCCUCUCCUUCACACACACAGUCUCCAGUAAAGCGGUCACAGCUGAGGUUGGGCGAACAGGAGCAGGUCUGAGUGCAGAAUGGACCGAAGCGACCUGGACUACAGGCUGGAAAACACAAGUUACCAGGUGGCUAAUGUUAGCCUUGUCCAGAACGGGGCUAUCAGAGCCAGCCUCCUGGUCGUUUUACGGACACAGAUGGCAACAAUGAGCUCAUCGGGCCCACCAGCAUCAGGUGCUGAGGACUUAAAGACAUAUUUGGAGAGGCCUUCAGCAGACAGGAAUAAAGGCUGUUGCAGUAAUCAAGACGCAAGAAACCCAGUGAUAGGUGCCAAAAACACGCCCACGUUUGAGGUUGAAAAGCUGCUGGAAAAACAGCCAAGGGUAGCAAGGAAAUCGUCUCCAACAGUGGUCUGCAGCUUGGCA